UACAUGGGGUGCAAACGUUGCUCGGAAUCAUUGGGCGUAAAGCGCGCGCAGGCGGUCCUUUAAGUCUGAUGUGAAAGCCCACGGCUCAACCGUGGAGGGUCAUUGGAAACUGGGGGACUUGAGUACAGAAGAGAAGAGUGGAAUUCCACGUGUAGCGGUGAAAUGCGUAGAGAUGUGGAGGAACACCAGUGGCGAAGGCGACUCUUUGGUCUGUAACUGACGCUGAGGCGCGAAAGCGUGGGGAGCAAACAGG
rnacentral:rRNA from 1 species